AUACUUAACAAGGCUGGGAUAUGUUAUGCCCUCUUACUAGUACGAGCGGGCAUGUGACAGACGGCCACAUACCUAUAAGGUAUGGCCCAUAGGAUAUGCAAGAAAAGUUAUAUAUAGUAUCAAUGUAGGUAAAUUAAGAUAAACUAAGAUACUAAGCUUUCUUAGAAUGAUAAACAUUCAUAAAUCGAAGUCCAACAUUAUUUUCAAUACAUUCUAUAAGGAUUAUAGAGAUAAUUUAUCAAAAAAAAGAGAUUACUUCUAAUUAUAGUCCUCUUGCUCACGACCCAUGAUCCCAUCCCCACAAAUUGUCGAUAUCUACAAAAAAGAAGGUAAAAUAAACAAAAGUGAGCUAAAAAAAAGUCUAGUAAGCCACCUCUAUCUUUAUUUGAAUCAAGUAUAAUAUCUGCAAUAUCAAUUUUCAUCAUAUAAGUUUCAAUUAUAAUUAAAAGCAUGUUGAACGAUAUAAAAUAUAUAUUUCAAAAAUAUUUAAUGCAUCUAGUCAGAUAAAAUUCCAAAUCAAUGUAUUUAACCAUUCACACUCUUUCUUAGCUUUUAUGAUAAUGGCCAUGAUCGACAUAGAGACUAGCUCCUACUUACAACAUGCGCUAGUGUUUGUCCUGCUAGAGGCCCGAAAAGAGAUUAUCUCUGAAUUCAUAUGGAAACAAUGCUUGCAACAACAUGUGCUUGUAAUCGCUCCACUGGUAUGGCUUGGAAGAAAACUAGCUCCCGACUACAACAUGCCACCAAUCAGCAUGCGCUAGUGAUCGCCCCACUGGAGGUCCAGAAGGAGACUAGAUCCUGACCCGUGUGAUCAUGGUUAGUCUAGAGAGGGAAUCAUCAAAACAAAUAAAAUUAGCAAUCUUUCAAUGCAACAAUAAUGCAAAUUAAUACACCAAAUUAAUACGACUAGAGAGUAUCAACAUUGAGUUGAAUGAUCGUGUUCUCAUGCGAAUCCUUCAGAUACCCAACCAUGGUGAUCUGGUGGACGAGGUUGAGGAUCGGCUAAGGGCAGUGCAAUGCAUUCUGGGAAGAAGAAUUGUGAAUAAAAAUGCCAAGAUUAGAGAAAGCCAACUCAAUAUGGAAAUGAGGCUCCUGCAUCACAUAACCAGCAUGAUCAUUUAUCCAAAGUCUAGAAGACUCGAAAUUGUCUCUGAAAAGGAACCGAGAAUCAUGUUCCACAUCAUCAAGGAAGUUUCCAUAAAUAUUCCGGCUUUGAUAAUUUAGAGGAUGCAUGAAGCUAUGUCAAGGAAAAAGGCUCCACUUCCCUAUAGUCUAAUGCUUAUGGAGAUCUUCAAGAACUUCAACAUAGACUUGGUGGGUGAAACAUCCAAUGAGUUGAUCUUUUUUUAUACCUACAAUGAACUUUCUAUACAUCGCAUAGGAUAUCACAAGAUCAAUAAUCAUUGGGUAAGAACCAAAGGGGCAGCUGGACUUGAAGAAGAAGAAGAAAACAGUAAAUAAGCCACGAUUGAGCCCUCCUCAAUAAGAAGAGAAACUCAGAAGUAGCUUGCAGCUAGGGAACAAGAUUUUGAAACUCCAUCAAUAAGCAGAUAUCAACAUAUCUACAUUCGGGUGCAUGAAGAUGAACUAAAGAUCAUCUCUGAUCAAGUAGCUGUAAUCCUCCUAGAAGCAAGAAUUUUUGAGCUGAGAGAUAGCUCAAGGGAUCCUCAAGCCACAUCUACAUCUAAUUUGGUUCAGUUGUUGAUAGAGUAAGGUGCAAAACUAACAUUGAUUUAGAAUUCUAUCACUGAUCUGAGUAAAAGGGUAUCUUCGAUAAAAAGAAAGGUUGGUCAAGGUAGAAUGGGUCAAGCUUUAAAUAAAGACUCUGUGCAAAUUUCUGAACUUGCUCUAGAAGCUGAAAGACU
rnacentral:lncRNA from 1 species